GACGAACGCUGGCGGCGUGCUUAAUACAUGCAAGUCGAGCGGUAAGGCCCUUUCGGGGUACGACGAGCGACGAACGGGUAGGAGUAACAACGUGGGUGGACCUCGCCCUCCAGCUCUGGGAGUAAAGACCUCGGGAAACGUAGGGUCGUAAUAACUGGAUAUGACUCCACGGUGCAUGUCGUGGGGUGGAAAGCCUUGUGCGGCUGAGGAU
rnacentral:rRNA from 1 species